GCUAACUACGUGCCAGCAGCCGCGGUAAUACGUAGGGUGCAAGCGUUAUCCGGAAUUAUUGGGCGUAAAGAGCUCGUAGGCGGUUUGUCGCGUCUGCUGUGAAAUCCCGAGGCUCAACCUCGGGCCUGCAGUGGGUACGGGCAGACUAGAGUGCGGUAGGGGAGAUUGGAAUUCCUGGUGUAGCGGUGGAAUGCGCAGAUAUCAGGAGGAACACCGAUGGCGAAGGCAGAUCUCUGGGCCGUAACUGACGCUGAGGAGCGAAAGGGUGGGGAGCAAACAGGCUUAGAUACCCUGGUAGUCCACCCCGUAAACGUUGGGAACUAGUUGUGGGGUCCUUUCCACGGAUUCCGUGACGCAGCUAACGCAUUAAGUUCCCCGCCUGGGGAGUACGGCCGCAAGGCUAAAACUCAAAGGAAUUGACGGGGACCCGCACAAGCGGCGGAGCAUGCGGAUUAAUUCGAUGCAACGCGAAGAACCUUACCAAGGCUUGACAUACACCAGAACACCGUAGAAAUACGGGACUCUUUGGACACUGGUGAACAGGUGGUGCAUGGUUGUCGUCAGCUCGUGUCGUGAGAUGUUGGGUUAAGUCCCGCAACGAGCGCAACCCUCGUUCUAUGUUGCCAGCACGUAAUGGUGGGAACUCAUGGGAUACUGCCGGGGUCAACUCGGAGGAAGGUGGGGAUGACGUCAAAUCAUCAUGCCCCUUAUGUCUUGGGCUUCACGCAUGCUACAAUGGCCGGUACAAAGGGCUGCAAUACCGUGAGGUGGAGCGAAUCCCAAAAAGCCGGUCCCAGUUCGGAUUGAGGUCUGCAACUCGACCUCAUGAAGUCGGAGUCGCUAGUAAUCGCAGAUCAGCAACGCUGCGGUGAAUACGUUCCCGGGUCUUGUACACACCGCCCGUCAAGUCAUGAAAGUCGGUAACACCUGAAGC
rnacentral:rRNA from 1 species